AAGUGACGGUACCCAAAGAACAAGCCCCGGCUAAAUACGUGCCAGCAGCCGCGGUAAUACGUAGGGGGCGAGCGUUGUCCGGAAUUAUUGGGGGUAAAGGGCGCGCCGGCGGGUCCUUAAGUUUGAUGUGAAAUUCCGGGGCUUAACCCCGGGGGGGCAUUUGAAACUGGGGGUCUUGAGUGCCGGAGAGGAAAGCGGAAUUCCCAGUGUAGCGGUGAAAUGCGUAGAUAUUUGGAGGAACCCCAGUGGCGAAGGCGGCUUUUUGGUCAGUAACUGACGGUGAGGCGCGAAAGCGUGGGGAGCAAACCGGAUUAGAUACCCUGGUAGUCCCCGCCGUAAACGAUGGNUNCUAAAGUAGGAGGGGGUACCC
rnacentral:rRNA from 1 species